CAAUAGCGUAUAUUUAAGUUGUUGCAGUUAAAAAGCUCGUAGUUGGACUUCUGAUGUGGGACUGCGCCCCGGUAUUUUGCCGUUGGGUGCGGGCUCGCGUCUUCCUCUCGUAGUUGGAUGGUGCACUUAACUGGGUGCCUUCUGAAUAUGGGACCUUACUUGAAAAAAUUAGAGUGUUCAAAGCAGGCAAAUCGCUUGAAUACAUUAGCAUGGAAUAAUAGAAUAGGACUUUGGUUCUAUUUUGUGGUUUCUAGGACCGAAGUAAUGAUUAAUAGGGACAGUUGGGGGCAUUAGUAUUUAAUUGUCAGAGGUGAAAUUCUUGGAUUUAUGAAAGACUAAACUAACUGCGAAAAGC
rnacentral:rRNA from 1 species